CAGUCGCCGCGGGAAUACGGAGGGAGCUAGCGUUGUUCGGAAUUACUGGGCGUAAAGCGCACGUAGGCGGCUUUGUAAGUCAGAGGUGAAAGCCUGGAGCUCAACUCCAGAACUGCCUUUGAGACUGCAUCGCUUGAAUCCAGGAGAGGUGAGUGGAAUUCCGAGUGUAGAGGUGAAAUUCGUAGAUAUUCAGAAGAACACCAGUGGCGAAGGCGACUCACUGGACGACUGUUGACGCUGAGGCACGAAAGCGUGGGGAGCAAACAGGAUUAGAUACCCCCGUAGUCCCUGUCUCUUAUAC
rnacentral:rRNA from 1 species